CGCCUCCACCUCCUCCACCACCACUAGCUGCGCCUCCUCCCAUCAUCUGGGGUUGUACCGAAGUUUCUCCUCGAGAAGAAACCAUGGGCCUUUUAAGUUGAGAGCUGAUGUAAACAUCAUCUCUUGACCUCUUCAUCUUUCUUCUAUAACUCACCAAAAUCUCUCUCUCCCUUCAACAACAAAAAUCAUGCUCCUAAAGCUUCAAUUAAACCAGAAGAAAACCUUUCAAGGAGGGAGAGAAGUGGUGCUUUCUUUUAUGUUAAAUCUUGUUCUGUAGAGAGAAACAGAAGAGAGGAUGCAACGUAAAGCUUUUUAUUUGAGAAUGUGAUUAUAUA
rnacentral:misc_RNA from 1 species